UACGAAGGGGGCUAGCGUUGCUCGGAAUCACUGGGCGUAAAGCGCACGUAGGCGGACUCUUAAGUCGGUGGUGAAAUCCUGGAGCUCAACUCCAGAACUGCCUCCGAUACUGGGAGCCUUCGAGUCCGGGAGAGGUGAGUGGAACUGCGAGUGUAGAGGUGAAAUUCGUAGAUAUUCGCAAGAACACCAGUGGCGAAGGCGGCUCACUGGCCCGGUACUGACGCUGGAG
rnacentral:rRNA from 1 species